GCAGAGAGGGUCACGCUUUUUAUUUUUGGCUUGAGAUUUAAAAUUAUAACUGAUAAGUAAAGCUCUUUCUAAUUUAGUUGAAAAUUUCGUACCAUGUGCUUGCUUUGGUUGGCUCAACUCCAAAAGAGUAAUUUAAUAAGCAUUAAAGGUAAAAUCUUUGAUUACCAGUAAGGUUUCUUGUCCAAUAUGCAUUGGAAGUAUUUCUUUCCCCCACACCAUUGCUACUCAAACGCACGUGCCUAGAGCAGCUCCGGCACACUGUUGGACCAACAGGGCUUUCAUAUUUUCAGUUUAAGGGAUGUUAACUGAUGUAGUGAUGAUUUACCAUUAUUUAAAUUUUAAGUCUUUAGUGGCUAAAUGUUACCAAACAGCACAUCAUAAGUAAGAAAAACCGGGGUGCUUGUCUAAAAAGCAAUCUUUGAUAGCCCACUCUGUAUCCCCAGCCGCUUUCAUAUUCUGGAACAAGAUAAAAUAUUAUUCCUAAAAAACGGGGAAAAUCAUUUUGUUUUGACAGUUCUAUCAAAAAAAAAGUGUAGGCACAUUUUGAACCCACUGUUUAUGAUGUUUUAAAUAUGGAUCGUGUAGUUCUGAUAAGGGAGAUUAAUUUUUACAAUCAUUAUUCUAAGAAAGUGUGGCCGAGUGACAGUGGGCAUAGUAAGGUUUAUAACAAGGAAGUGACAUGCUUAUCACCAUAGAUUAGCAAGUAAACUGCAUGUACUUAAUUGUAUUGAAUUAAAUUCCAAAAUACCCUGAUAGAAUUAACAUGAGGCUCACUGCGUUGACAGGGUAUGAGGAUUUAAAACAAAUCGUUUGGGUAGUUUCUCAUUUGUGUUAACAUUUUACUUUUCAAGUGUGUAUACAGAGGACUUACUAUUAUGAGUUUGAGGAUGAGAUUCAUGCUCACAAAUAGAGGCAAACAUUUGAACUCCGAAUCCAACCCAUUCUCUUACUGUAAAAGUAAAUGAAAGUUACUGGAACGUAACUAGUUAAAAUCAUGCCUACUUUAAUAUUAUUUGUUUGUUAAUCCAGUGAUGGGAACUGCCAUCUCUGUAGAAAUCAGUGGGUAAUUGAAAAAUAGGUUAUGCUUUUUAAAGAGUCUGUGGUUAUGAGAGGUCUCAGUUAAGUGUGUUUAGAAGUGAUCAGCUUGAACCUUAUGCAUGACUCGGGGACUGGAAUUUAUGAUCUGGGUUAGAGUAUGUUCUGGGGAUGUGUUUGCUUGCCCAUGGUUACUCAUGAACUGAGGGGAUAGCUUGGCAACUUGGUUAAUCAUCUUGGGAAAGAAAAACAGACUUCAUAUCGCCUGACUUGAUUUGCCUUUUAUAGGAGUAUACUGGAGAAAUGGUUGUAGAAACAGUAUUUACAGCAAAAGGAAACAAAUAAUGUUCAUUUUCAACAGUGUACCAUUCACACUGUCCUGCCUUUCCCUCUAGAAUUUUAUUAUUAAUGGUAGAAAUUUUUAUAUGAAAUGGGACCAGGACCAGGCUAAUAUUUUCAGUCCUUAAAUAUCAAACUCAUAUGCUAUUAUCACUGUGAUUUUACUUGUGAAAUCAUUCCUGUAAUGUUUAUUGUUUGAAACUGCAAUGUGGAAAUUGGGCUUCCAGAGUAACACUGUCCCCGCAAGAGGAUAUGAGAAGUGGCAGCUGCAGUCACGUGCAGUUCCUGUGGCUUUCCAGCAUUUCAUUUAGUGAAGGAAUGCCCACACUAGACGUAGCACAGCCUCCUGUGGGGCCCCGGCAGCAAAGCCCCAGGUACUCCCUGUCACCUCACAACAAAAUGCACGAAGAAACCUAAAGAAUAAGAGAAAGCAAUUAAUACUAACCAUUAAAGGAUGUCCAGCCAACCUAUUGUGGAAAUAUAUAGAAUAGUGUACACCAUGUUUCUAAAUAGUGAUAUCACAUAGAAACACAUACUAGAGGACCUGCCACGCCAUGAGCCACGUUUUUGCUUUUGGGGGGCCGGUCCCUGGGGUGUGGAGCCGCUAGGGUUUGCACCCAUGAAACAAAGAGAAAAGCCACACCCUCCAAGGCUUUGAUUCUGGGACUGCUGCGGGGAGGGCAGAGGCAUUGCUGAGACUGCCUGGCGCCGGCGGAUGCCCCAGGUAGGAUCUUUUCGAAUUCAAAGUGAUGGUCUAAGUGUGCGUCCAACGCUGUGUAGGAAAAAGGUUGAUGCAAAAAUAUUUCUGGUCAUCCACCCGUUAAAAGAGUUAGAUGAGGCUGGUGCCUUGAUAACAGCUAUCCACACUUCCCAUGAAAUUAACCUAUAUGCUGGGGCGUUUCCAAAUGUCUGACUCAUGAAAUUAACCCAUAUGCAGGGGCCUUUCCAAAUGUCUGGAAAGGCAGUGGUGUCCUUUGGGGAAAAUGUUAUGCACGGAAGCCUGACCUUUUGCUUAGUUGACAGCAAUCCCUUCUCUAUUGCCAAUCAAGGUUCAUUUGGGAUGCAGAGGAAUGAGCUUGAGCCUUCCUCCUUUUCCUUCCGGUUUUAUUCUUCAUCUUGGGAACAGCCCUCCACUCUGCACUGCUUCCUGCAGCUUUGUAGAGCUGGAUUUGGAACUUCAGGAUUUGGUUUCUGAGUCUGUGGAGGCACCGACUUCUCCAAGAAAAUGAAUGUUGUGGAAAUCCUUUGGCUCCUUAACUAAAACUCGUGACUGUAUCAGUUUGGCUACAAAUAAGAAAUUAAUCAUCUGCUCUGUUUCUGCUAAUUUCUGGUGUCACUUCAGUAAUUCUGGUAGCAACCAUUGAAUCUGUCGGUCACUUCCUGUAAACGAUUUGGAAAUAGGAUGUUUGCAGCGUUCUUUUGUCUUCCUGAAGUCGAGAUAGAUUCAAGACAUAAUCUCUUGUAAGAUCUUAGUAGAGCAAAUGUAAGCAAAAGUGCAUUUUUGUGUUCUUGUUAAUUUUAGAUGCUUUCCUAGCUUACAAAACGUUUUAUUUUUGGGUUAAAAAUCAAUCAACUUUCUGAUUUUUCCCCUUCUGCAAUGUUAUUAUUCAUAAGAAGAUAACACGAGCUGAAAAUGGAAAUCUGCAGUUGUUUCAGUUGCCUUGAAUUUCUUUCAGUGGCCACAUCAUUUCCACGUUUUCCACAUCCGGGAGGAAGUCUGGGCUGUGCAGCCUUCAGGCACCCGGCACAGACACUAUGCUGGCAGGUGCUUCAGACACGCCAAGUGAAUGGAUUUGGAUGGAACGCACAUAAAACAGGAGACGGGUUCUCAUGUGAGAUCAAAGCUCCUCCAAAGCCUAUUCAAGCUCUAAGCGAUUCUCAAAUGUUACCAUUUAUUAAAGGUACACUACACCUGUUGAAGGCCAAGUUCAGGCCAGCUGUUGUGAUCUGCGUAAUGUAUUUAUUAAUGCUUGAGUUUUAAAAUCCUGGGCAUAAAUAGUGCAGAGCCUUGUAUGUCUGUCAGUUCAUGCCGAGAUGAAAUAAAUCAUGCAGAA
rnacentral:lncRNA from 1 species